rnacentral:sRNA from 1 species
UUUGGGUCUGCUAGGCUACAAACUACAAAAACAUUAGCAGCAGACCCAUCUUUCAAA